UACGAAGGGGGCUAGCGUUGCUCGGAAUUACUGGGCGUAAAGCGCACGUAGGCGGAUUGUUAAGUCGGGGGUGAAAUCCUGGAGCUCAACUCCAGAACUGCCUUCGAUACUGGCGAUCUCGAGUUCGGGAGAGGUGAGUGGAACUGCGAGUGUAGAGGUGAAAUUCGUAGAUAUUCGCAAGAACACCAGUGGCGAAGGCGGCUCACUGGCCGAUACCUGACGCUGAGGUGCGAAGCGAGGGGAG
rnacentral:rRNA from 1 species